AGUUUCGCAUGGAGCAGCAAUCAAAGGAGCAAUCCGCUGAAAGAUGGACUCGCGUCCGAUUAGAUAGUUGGCGGGGUAACGGCCCACCAAGUCGACGAUCGGUAGCCGGACUGAGAGGUUGAUCGGCCACAUUGGGACUGAGACACGGCCCAGACUCCUACGGGAGGCAGCAGUGAGGGAUAUUGGGCAAUGGGGGAAACCCUGACCCAGCAACGCCGCGUGAGGGAUGACGGUUUUCGGAUUGUAAACCUCUGUCCUCUGUGAAGAUAGUGACGGUAGCAGAGGAGGAAGCUCCGGCUAACUACGUGCCAGCAGCCGCGGUAAUACGUAGGGAGCAAGCGUUGUCCGGAUUUACUGGGUGUAAAGGGUGCGUAGGCGGAUUGGCAAGUCAGAAGUGAAAUCCAUGGGCUUAACCCAUGAACUGCUUUUGAAACUGUUAGUCUUGAGUGAAGUAGAGGUAGGCGGAAUUCCCGGUGUAGCGGUGAAAUGCGUAGAGAUCGGGAGGAACACCAGUGGCGAAGGCGGCCUACUGGGCUUUAACUGACGCUGAGGCACGAAAGUGUGGGUAGCAAACAGGAUUAGAUACCCUGGUAGUCCACACUGUAAACGAUGAUUACUAGGUGUGGGGGGUCUAACCCCCUCCGUGCCGGAG
rnacentral:rRNA from 1 species